rnacentral:tRNA from 1 species
GCCAGAGUAGCUCAGUUGGUAGAGCACGGCUUUCGUAAAGCUGAGGUCGAGAGUUCGAUUCUCUCCUCUGGCU